rnacentral:rRNA from 1 species
GAUGAACGCUGGCGGCGUGCCUAAUACAUGCAAGUCGAGCGAACGGACGAGAAGCUUGCUUCUCUGAUGUUAGCGGCGGACGGGUGAGUAACACGUGGAUAACCUACCUGUAAGACUGGGAUAACUUCGGGAAACCGGAGCUGAUACCGGAUAAUAUUUUGAACCGCAUGGUUCAAAAGUGAAAGACGGUCUUGCUGUCACUUAUAGAUGGAUCCGCGCUGCAUUAGCUAGUUGGUAAGGUAACGGCUUACCAAGGCAACGAUGCAUAGCCGACCUGAGAGGGUGAUCGGCCACACUGGAACUGAGACACGGUCCAGACUCCUACGGGAGGCAGCAGUAGGGAAUCUUCCGCAAUGGGCGAAAGCCUGACGGAGCAACGCCGCGUGAGUGAUGAAGGUCUUCGGAUCGUAAAACUCUGUUAUUAGGGAAGAACAUAUGUGUAAGUAACUGUGCACAUCUUGACGGUACCUAAUCAGAAAGCCACGGCUAACUACGUG